CCUACGGGUGGCAGCAGUGGGGAAUAUUGCACAAUGGGGGGAACCCUGAUGCAGCGACGCCGCGUGAGUGAAGAAGUAUUUCGGUAUGUAAAGCUCUGUCAGCAGGGAAGAAGAAAGACGGUACCUGACCAAGAAGCCCCGGCUAACUACGUGCCAGCAGCCGCGGUAAUACGUAGGGGGCAAGCGUUAUCCGGAUUUACUGGGUGUAAAGGGAGCGUAGACGGCAGGGCAAGUCUGGAGUGAAAGGCAGGGGCCCAACCCCUGGACUGCUCUGGAAACUGUCCGGCUGGAGUGCAGGAGAGGUAAGUGGAAUUCCUAGUGUAGCGGUGAAAUGCGUAGAGAUUAGGAGGAACAUCGGUGGCGUAAGCGCUUUACUGGGCCGUAAUUGACACUGAGGAACGAAAGCCGGGGUAGCAAAUGGGAUUAGAUACCCUUGUAGUC
rnacentral:rRNA from 1 species